GACGAACGCUGGCGGCGUGCUUAACACAUGCGAGUCGAACGAAGAGCGAUGGAAGCUUGCUUCUAUCAAUCUUAGUGGCGAACGGGUGAGUAACGCGUAAUCAACCUGCCCUUCAGAGGGGGACAACAGUUGGAAACGACUGCUAAUACCGCAUACGAUCUAAACUCGGCAUCGAGGAUAGAUGAAAGGUGGCCUCUACAUGUAAGCUAUCACUGAAGGAGGGGAUUGCGUCUGAUUAGCUAGUUGGAGGGGUAACGGCCCACCAAGGCGAUGAUCAGUAGCCGGUCUGAGAGGAUGAACGGCCACAUUGGGACUGAGACACGGCCCAGACUCCUACGGGAGGCAGCAGUGGGGAAUCUUCCGCAAUGGACGAAAGUCUGACGGAGCAACGCCGCGUGAGUGAUGACGGCCUUCGGGUUGUAAAGCUCUGUUAAUCGGGACGAAAGGCCUUCUUGCGAAUAGUGAGAAGGAUUGACGGUACCGGAAUAGAAAGCCACGGCUAACUACGUG
rnacentral:rRNA from 1 species